UUUUUUUUUUUUCUUUUAGACAAGGUCUACCUAAGUUAUCCAGGCUGGCCUUGAACUUUUGAUCUCCUGCCUCAGCUCCCAAUUAUCUGGGAUGACAGGAUUGCACCUGAGAUACUCUUCCUGCUCAGUUUAGCCAAAGUUGUUUGUGAGCACCCCCAUACCCCACAGCGCCACUUCCUGUCUCACUUCCCUUAUUUUCCUUUAAUUACCCACCUUGGCCUGUCUGGGUUGAUCUCCUCAGCUGCUGGUGUCAGGCUGGUAAUGUCCUUGGAAACUUGCCAGCAUGUAGACAGGGUUUGGCAGGAACCCCACACCACCAGCCUCACUUAGCCCUGGGCUCCUCCAGGAGAGGUGUACAGGAUCCAUGGGAUCACUCGGUCUUCCUAGGAUGGCUUAGUUCAAAGUGAAGCCAGGUGUGUUUUAUAGUAACUGGCUUGAAAACAAAAGUGCCUUUUGCUGCUUUAGGGUGUGUAGUGGAAGCUAGUUUCCUUAUCUUUCCUGGCACUCUUCUCCAGUCCUGCCAUGUCUACACCUCUCAUGUGUCCCCUGCCCAUCCCCUUGUCCCCCGUGCCCAUUGUAUGCAGUGGGACACUGCAUUGCUGGGCAGCCAUGAAGCCAGAGCAUAUAGGAGUGUCCAGGCUGAGUUACACAAAGCACUUUAAGUCAAGCUGGAAUGGUGAGCUCUGCCAAGGGUGAGAGAUUUACUGGGAUUCAUUCAGGACAAAGGAGAAUUAUCCAGGAUCCAGAGUGAUAAGGUGACAGAUAACUAUCAGUCUACCAUGGGAGUGUACCACCUAUGCCUCCUGCCUGCUUGAAGACUGUGGGGAGUGUGCUGGCUGAGGGAGGCCCUGGGCUCAGGGUCCAAGCCAUUACUCUAUCCAAACAAGCAGGCGGCACUGGCUUGUGCUGAGUUGUGCUGUGCCCAUAGCAGGACUCCCCUGCCACUGAGAAGAAAGUAUUGUCAGUUCACCGUCAGGUAUUUACUUACUCUGUAAAAUGUGUGUAGAUGUUUUGUACAGAGCCCCAUAUGAAAUAAAUGCCCUUAUGUGAUUCCUAAUC
rnacentral:lncRNA from 1 species